AUUUUAGGGGGAGAAAAUGUAAUUUAGAAAGGGAAUGACAGUCACAGCAAAACAGCUGAUCUUGAAAUCCUCCUGAUCCUGCAGAUACAACAGAGCCUAUUGGAGACCACAGAAUUCUCUUUUUUUUUUCUGAGGCCUGUUUUUGAGGCACAAACUGAGCAAGACUACGGACAUGCUCAAACAAUGGAUGUUUCACCUUUUUAUUGACCUGGGUAGCACAUAUGAUUACAAAAUGCAAAAAUGAAGAGGAAUAGUCAAAAUGACUUUACACAGAACAGAUAAAGAAAUCUCAUCAUGUAAUAAUCAUCUGCCUCGCCUGUGUCAACAUCGGCAGGCACUUGGGAACAUAGAAGUGAUAAAGACAACCCUGACCUCAAGCCUCAAGAAGAAGAUAUUACAGGAAGAACAUUAAUACAACGAUAACUAUGACUGCACAUAUCAAAAACAGAGAAAAAUUGAAACACUGGCCAUCGUUUUUCAACAUUGAAGUCUGGCACCUGCAAAA